AUUACUUCAACUCCACAGGGAAGAUUCAUUUAUUUGCCUGAAAUGAAGCCAUCUUUCGUAGCCCAAGAUCACGAGUCACGCCUUGUUGCUCACAUAGACAACCUCCCAUAUCAAGAGGGCAUCCCGCUUACUUCAACACACAAGGAAGGAAGCGCUACAGAGACUGCAACAUCGAGCUCUGGAAGCUACUACCCGGAUAGAGAAAUCUUUGUCAUCACAACACAAAACAACGACGCGGGCGCCAGCCUCCUAAGAACUCCUCAACGGGUUACACACCUCGAUGACAUUUCACAAGACGAAUCAUCAUCUAACACCCCAC
rnacentral:lncRNA from 1 species